ACACUUCCAUUUGUGGGAACCGAGGAUGGAACCAAAUCUGAAGUUGUGGUUUCUUGCCAUAUUGAUACGUCAGCUUGGAACCCGAAGCAUGCAGCCUUUAAAGUUCUGAAAGUUAAACCAGGAACUGUCCCUGUUUGCGAUUUCCUUCCCCAUGAUGAUAUCAUCUGGAUUCCUAAAUAACUAGAAAUUUGAAGAAAGCAUUAAGCCCAGUUGCAAGCAUAUAUAUAUAUAUAUAUAUGGUUCCAUGUUGUACUGUCUAGUGUGCAUAUGUGGUGUGGUUUGAGCAAGUGCAUGUUUGAGGAAUGCUUGUAUGUUUAUGUGUACUACUCACUAUUUGCAAUAUAAUUCAGUCUGCAUGCUUGGUUAAGCAUGUAAAAUUAUCUCAAUUAUUUCUAUGAAAUCCCAUUUUAGUUACUAUUACUUGCUAGACACAUUGUUGUUUCAUUACUUAUUGAGAAUUAAUUUUUUAGAUUAAAUUGGUAACUAAUACUUGAUGUUUUGAGUUUGAGUAUCUAGAUCCCUUGUUUCAUCUAUUUUCUUGUCCAUAACAUCAAGGUUAGGUUUGGUUUGCUGUGAAUUUGAGGGAAAUAAAAUAGAGAGAAAAUUAGAAAACACAAAAAGUGAAGGAAUUUUUUUUUUCUUAACAUUCUUCUUAUUUUCUCAACACUUUCUGGUAAUCAAAUAUAACCAAAAGUAAUGAAAAUGAAGACAAAAAUUAAUGCCCUAUAAUUAGUGUUAGGAUGAAUGACUUCGUCGUCUUAUUUGAAAAUCAAUUAGCUACAAUUGAUGUCAAACUAAUCAUAUUCAUGUGGUUUGACAUCACGCUUAUCCUAAAAUUUAAUCAUUUGGAAGUACACAAUGAGGCUUAACCAAUUGCACACAACAAACCUAUAUUGAGCCUUGAUUUAUCCUAAGGCUUAUAGUAGGCCUAAUCAUCUUCAACCAUCACAUGCCCAUCACACGGUCAUUGUUCAUCCAUCAUUUUCCUAGGAGAGCAACAUUGUUGCAUACCCUAACUUAUAAGUUUCCUAUGACUUGAACCUACAUGACAUGAGUUUGAUACCAUUUGUUUUUUCAAGCUUUAUUGCAUCUUGGCAGUCUCACCAAGUGAUAAGUGUGGUUCUCAUGUAAAGAUUUCAUCUUUUCUUGCAUGACAUUUGACCACUCUUUCUUCUUUUCAUAUGACAAUACUUUUGGUAAGAUUUGGUUGUCUCUUCUAGGUGAUCAUCACAUACUCAAUAAGAGAAUAUCUUUUAGAAUCUAUCUAGCUGUUGGGUCUUCUUAAGUGAGGUUCUCAUUAACUUGCUCAUCUUCAUCUAUGAGCUCACCAUCAACCAGAGGGGCACCAUGCAUGCAUUAUGAUCAUCCUAUGCAUCUCUCUUAUCAUCAAUACACAGUAUUGAUUGAUGAACCAUACUUGGAUCAACUACUUCAUCAAUAAUAGAUUUUGGUUUUUCUAACUUUUCAAAAUUUGCAAUAAUUUGAUCCUCAAGAAAUACAAAAUUUUAGCUUUUGUUGAUUUUUUUGUUGACUAGAUCUUAGAAUCUAUACCCAAAUUCUUCAUGGUUUUACUCGACAAAAAAUACAUUGCUUUGACUUACAGUCAAAUUUAGAUUUCUCAUCCGACAUGCACAAAUACCUUGCAACAAAAAUAAAAUAAAAUAAAAUAAUCAUAAGAAACAUCUUUCCUUAUCCUAAGUCUUUCAAGCAUAUCGCCAUUCAAAGGAAUUGAGGGAGAAAGAUUUAUUAAGAGAUGUCACUUAUUGUACUUACCAUUGUUACCUGAAUCUUCCAUUUAAUUAGCUCAAUUUUUAAUUAUUUUACUUUUAAAAAUUUAAAUUAUAUUAAAAUAAAUAUUAUUUAUAAAACAAAGGAAUAUUAUAAAUAUUUAUAAUUUAUUUUUAUGAAAAAAAAUAUUUGUAUAUAUGUUAAAAAAGAAAAAAACAAUAAAUUAAAACAAUGCAUUAUACAUACAUAGGAUAAAAUCAUAUUCGACGAUCAACACAUUGUAGUAAUUCCUCCUUCCUCCUACAAAAAAGAUUUCCAGAUGGGUUGUCUGGACAUACCCUCCGAUGAUUAAGUUAGUAUUUUGGAAGCUGUUGGAAAAUAGGGUUUUCCUUUGGGAGUGUUGCUCUGUGAUUUUCGUCAAGGAUGUUUAUCCCUUUUGUUCUUAUCUCUUAUGGCUUAUGGCUUACCUCUCUGAGAGCCUCCUUAGAGUUUAUAUACAAGUCAGAAAGUAAGGCCUCGCUGUGCUAGCGAGUCCCAUCGUCAUGAUUGCGACUCAUAAGGUGGCGAAGCAAUCAUGACGUUUCUGGUGCGAGAUGGUGGCUGUCAGGAGGAUAUUUAGGCGGUGGAUGUCGCCUCAAUUUAUGACUUUAAAUAUCGGGGAUGUGUCAGGAGACCUGAGAAGACUUGGGAAUGUCUUAUCGAGCACAUCUUGCAUUAAAGAUGAGUGACAACUCAGGAAACUUGGUCGUCAGUAUUGUCAGUGUUUUUUGAUUGUGAGCGGAAAUGGAUCCGACGAAUCGCGAGUAUCUGACGAGCUAAGUUAUCCGAGGAAUCUGAAUCGCUGGCCACGGAUGUUCUCCGGAUAAGCGUUACCGAAGGAUCCGGACAUGUCUGCCUGGGGAAGUUGAAUCGUCCUCCUCUCCCAUCCGGCGGCAAGCGCCGGAUGUGAAAUAUCCGAAGAAGGUGGAACGUUGGCCGGAUAGAAUUACGACUGUGAGAUAUUUGAAAAAAGUGGGAUGUCGGUCGGGCAAAAUUGCGGCUGUGAGACAUCCGGAUAAGGUAGAACGUUGGCCGUGCAGAAUUUCGGAUGUGAGACAUCCGGGUGGAAUGAGUGAGAAUUUCCGUUCGGGUGGAAUGAGCGAUGCCACGCGUUGCAAGGGGGGACGUCUGCGCGGCCAAAGAAGAAGGAGCCACGUGGCAAUUUUUGGGGAGGAUCCCACAAUGGGUUAAAAACAUUUUCCCUAACCCAUUCCACAUCCGUUUAACCCGCCCUAGGAGUAGGGCGGUGUUGGCAGACUUGACCCAAAGAAUCGCUCCAUUGCCAUUCGUACGUUCUUCAUGCAAGAAAACCCCGCAACAACCUUCUCCUUUCUUUCCCUUUCUCUGGCACCACACGUGUUUCCUUUUGUUUUAUUCUCUUAUCUCUUUUCUAUUUAUUGACCGGGUUCCAGUGCCUCCAAGUGGUGGGAUGGGACCCCACCCAACACUUAGCAAUCCAAUCUCCACUCUCUUUUCACACUGGCAUGUUUAUAACGACAAAUUCAUCGAUACCUGGUUACUUUCGGCUCAUGAAAUGGAAAUUAAUAUUAGCAAUUUUAGUCUGUUUUCCUUGAAAGGAGUCUGUGGAAGCCAACAUAUAAUAAAGGGAGACACACAAGACUGUGAGACCUGCCAUGAAAGCAGAAACUAAGGACGUCUGCGAAAUUAAUUUCAUGGGUCACCAAUUGAUUUCAGCCAUAGAAUCAUAUUUCGGCACACAGGAAAUGAAUAACCUUUCCCUAUAUUUCAUAUCUGCUCAUCAAAAAAUCGAUCUUAUCUCAUAUCUACUCAGCAAAAAUUGGACCAUUCUGAUUGUGGGAAUUGAAUGCGAAGGUUGGGCCAUAUGCAACUUGAUCAUGCAUGGAUGCUUUUACUAUCUUGUUUAUAUAUGCCGACUUAGCCAUUAUAUAUAUCCAUCAAUUGAUUUCACUUCUUCAUACCAACGUACAGCUUAGCCUGCGGUUCACAGCUUCUAUGGAGCUUCAUCUUCUUCCCAUUCUAACCUGCCUCUCUGUGAGACUUCACUUUUACCUUUAUUUUGUUUUUAUUUUUCUAACAUAACCCAUUACAUGACAAGGGCAAUGCUAGUUAUAUUAUUUUGCAGAAAAUGGUACUUACAUAAAAUUCUCUUUAAAAAUGAACAUUUAUAAUCCAAAUUUUAAGUCUUACUGUUCUAAAUUGUCUUUGUUACGUGGGUUUUCUGAUUUCUCCUAAUCUCCUUACUAUAUAUUAUGCAUGAACUUGUGGCAGCUGCUGGUGGUUGUAAACAAUGCUUCUCUACCUUCUGAGGUCUACUGGAAGUUGGCUUUGCCGUAUACUCGGAUGCCCAAAGUCGUGCGAGAUCUCUUGCAGCUGAGUUAGUUUCAAUGAAUCCCUAACUCAUAUGCAAAUUUUUUUUUUUGUUCUUUUUUGAAAUUUGGUGAAGAAAAUAAUUUACUGUUGAAUAUUAGUUAGGCAACUGAUUCUUAAUUAGCCACCUUGGCAUAAUUGUAAUAGCUAGUAAGGGGAUAUUAUUCAUAUACGUUUCAAUGAGUUUGCAGACUCAAUGGAAGGUGGAAGUUCAAUCAAUGUGAGCAAGGUUAUACUAAAUGCCAUCCCAGCGGAUGUCUUUAUCAAAUACCAAAACCCAUCGGCUGCUGACACCCCCACUGAAGACCAACCUCCAGAAAAGGUUACUUCUUGGAAAAAGACCUGCAUUCCACCACAAAAAUGAAGAUGCACUUUAGAAAAACUACAAAUGAAGCCACUUUGUUACCCCGUCAAGUGGCCGACUCCAUACCCUUUUCAUCUGACAAGUUCCCAGAAAUUCUAAAUCGGUUUUCACUUAAACAAGAGUCCAAGGAAGCUGAAAUAAUGAAGAAAACGAUACAAGAUUGCGAACAACCAGCCCUGGAAGGAGAUUCCAGGUUUUGUGCCACAUCCUUGGAAUCCUUAAUUGAUUUAAGCAUUUCAAAGCUUGGAAAAAACAUCAAACUAAUCUCAAAUGGAGUUGAAAUGGGAAGCCAAGAAUACGAACUCGGAGUGGGAGUGAAGGUGGUUGCAGACAAAUCAGUGGUGUGCCAUAAGCAGAAGUAUCCAUACGCUGUGUUUUACUGCCAUGCAAUCCAUAAGACGAGGGUUUACACACUUCCAUUUGUGGGAACCGAGGAUGGAACCAAAGCUGAGGUUGUGGCUUCUUGCCAUAUAGAUAUGUCGGCUUGGAACCCGAAGCAUGCGACCUUUCAAGUGCUGAAAGUUAAACCAGGAACUGUCCCUGUUUGCCACUUCCUUCCUCGUGAUGAUCUCAUCUAGGUUCCUAAAUAACUAGAAAUCUGAAAGAAAAAAAAAAGCCUCAAGCCCAAUCGCAUAAGUCGAUCUUGUAUUUUC
rnacentral:lncRNA from 1 species